rnacentral:rRNA from 1 species
UACGUAGGGGGGCAAGCGUUGUCCGGAAUCAUUGGGCGUAAAGAGCGUGUAGGCGGCCAGAUAAGUCCGCUGUGAAAUCUCGAGGCUCAACUUCGAGCUGUCGGUGGAAACUGUCUGGCUAGAGUCCGGAAGAGGCGAGUGGGAAUUCCUGGUGUAGCGGUGGAAUGCGCAGAUAUCAGGAGGAACACCGAUGGCGAAGGCAGCUCGCUGGGACGGUACUGACGCUGAGGCGCGAAGCGUGGGGAGCGAACAGG